AUAGAGCCUUGAAACUGGCUCUGAUACCAACUGUCACAGGACUGAUUCUCAUCCAAAAUUUUUUUCAAGAAUACAAGCCUUGUGCGGUACUAGACUACUAUUUAGUUCAGCCUCUCAACACUCCCUACCCCAUGAGAUGCACACACCAAGUAGAAUGGGGACAAGAUAUCAAGGCACAUAGAGAAAAUAUCAAGGAUUUCUUUUAUUUCAAUUUCUAUAUAAUUCUAGAUAAUAGAGACCUGCCCAU
rnacentral:lncRNA from 1 species